GCAAGUCGAGGGGUAACAUAGGAGCUUGCUCUUGAUGACGACCGGCGCACGGGUGCGUAACGCGUAUACAAUCUACCUUUUGCUGAGGAAUAGCCCAGAGAAAUUUGGAUUAAUGCCUCAUAGUAUAAAGACUUCGCAUGGAGACUUUAUUAAAGGUUACGGCAAAAGAUGAGUAUGCGUCCUAUUAGUUAGUUGGUGUGGUAACGGCACACCAAGACAGCGAUAGGUAGGGGCCCUGAGAGGGGGAUC
rnacentral:rRNA from 1 species